CGGGAUCCUGCGAGGCGCGUGAAGCCUCGCUGGCGCCUCGUCCGAGAUCCAAGCGCUGGCGGGCGCGGAGUUUCUCACGACCAGCCGAGCCCGCCUCUCCCCGUUAACUAUUCUCCAGAGAGUUGUUCUGCACCAUACUGGAUGCUUCACUCUUUUGCAUCAUUGGAAUUAUUUACAGGCUAACUACAUCUCAGAAAGAAUCAACUUUUUAUCAAUGGACCCAUUCAUCAAAUGCAGUGUGCCUCUACUAUUUUAAAAAGUUUUGUAUUUCAUAAUGGAAAAAUUUACUCCCCAAAAUGAAAAUGAAGACAUUUGAGAAGGUGGUUUAAGGUGUGGAUGUUUGAGAAAGUGUACCAUCAAAUUACUGAGCCAAAGGAAAAGUAUUGAAUAGAGUAAUCCUAAACACUUAUUU